UUUUCCUAUAUGCUUGAACUUAAAAUUAUUGGAGGCGUCGUUCUUCAUUGCGUCCAGAAUAAUGAGCUGAAGUGAAUUCUUUAAUAUACUUUGGAUGUCAGAGAAAGAAAAUACUCUUUAUGAAGAAACAUUUUGCAUU